rnacentral:siRNA from 1 species
UAACCUGGUGUGGGUCCCGCCUC